AGAAUCAACGCUGGCGGCGUGCCUAACACAUGCAAGUCGCACGAGAAAGGGGAGCAAUCCCUGAGUAAAGUGGCGCACGGGUGAGUAACACGUGAAUGAUCUACCUCCGAGUGGGGAAUAAACCAAAAGAAAUUUUGGCUAAUACCGCAUAACACUUACGAGUCAAAGCAGCAAUGCGCUUGGAGAGGAGUUCGCGGCCGAUUAGUUAGUUGGCGGGGUAAUGGCCCACCAAGACGAUGAUCGGUA
rnacentral:rRNA from 1 species